AGUGAACGUUGGCGGCGUGCUUAACACAUGCAAGUCGAACGAGAACGGAAUAUAGCUUGCUAUAUUUGUCAGCUAAGUGGCGCACGGGUGAGUAAUGUAUAGAUAACCUGCCCUUAAGAAAGGAAUAACAGUUGGAAACGACUGCUAAUGCCCUAUAUGCCUUUAAUACAUAAGUAUGCAAGGGAAACGCUUUAGUGCUUAAGGAUGGGUCUGUAUGGUAUCAGCUUGUUGGUGAGGUAAUGGUUCACCAAGGCUAUGACGCCUAACUGGUUUGAGAGGAUGAUCAGUCACACUGGAACUGAGACACGGUCCAGACUCCUACGGGAGGCAGCAGUGGGGAAUAUUGCACAAUGGACGAAAGUCUGAUGCAGCAACGCCGCGUGGAGGACGACACAUUUCGGUGCGUAAACUCCUUUUAUAUAGGAAGAUAAUGACGGUACUAUAUGAAUAAGCACCGGCUAACUCCGUGCCAGCUGCCGCCGUAA
rnacentral:rRNA from 1 species